AAAAAACGCCAAAAAUUCAGGAAUUUUUUGAACAGAAUGAAAUAUAUGAAUUAGCUCCAUUAUCAUCAACGAGCAUUACAUUAAGGAGAACAUUAUGUGCGGACAAGGCAAUUACUCAGGCUGCUUGUAUUGCAAUAUUAUUUCUAUUUUCGGGAUCCGAUCCAGCACAAUUUAAUACAACCACAUUUCCGGAAAUAUUGUCACAUUUUCCCUACGGCGCUUCUGUGAAAACAAUACUUCAUUUUUCCCAAAAUAUUAUCACACGUGAGUAUUUCGUGUCUUUUUAGAAAGAAAUUACAGAUAUUUAUAAAUAAUGAUGGAGAUAUAGAAAUUUUAAUUCCUGAUCCAAUAGAUGUUAUAAUUGCUUUUGUUAUAUGCGCUUUAAAUCUUAUAAGCCAACACUUGGAGUUAGAUGCAUAUUUCAGUGUCGAUUUUUGAAACGACGCCUGCUAUUUUUCCAUUGCCUCUUGAAGCUCAUUGUUAGUAGUUGAGCCAUCGAUCAUACAUGAUCUCGUCUCAGAAGUGUUCUCAUCUUUGCUAAAUAAUUUUUAACUGUAACUUUUAACUGUAU